GAUGAACGCCGGCGGCGUGCCUAAUACAUGCAAGUCGAGCGAACAGACGAGGAGCUUGCUCCUCUGAUGUUAGCGGCGGACGGGUGAGUAACACGUGGAUAACCUACCUGUAAGACUGGGAUAACUUCGGGAAACCGGAGCUAAUACCGGAUAACAUGUUGAACCGCAUGGUUCAACAGUGAAAGACGGUCUUGCUGUCACUUAUAGAUGGAUCCGCGCCGCAUUAGCUAGUUGGUAAGGUAACGGCUUACCAAGGCAACGAUGCGUAGCCGACCUGAGAGGGUGAUCGGCCACACUGGAACUGAGACACGGUCCAGACUCCUACGGGAGGCAGCAGUAGGGAAUCUUCCGCAAUGGGCGAAAGCCUGACGGAGCAACGCCGCGUGAGUGAAGAAGGUCUUCGGAUCGUAAAACUCUGUUAUUAGGGAAGAACAAAUGUGUAAGUAACUAUGCACGUCUUGACGGUACCUAAUCAGAAAGCCACGGCUAACUACGUG
rnacentral:rRNA from 1 species